rnacentral:rRNA from 1 species
UACAGGGGGUGCUAGCGUUGUUCGGAAUGACUGGGCGUAAAGGGUACGUAGGUGGCUUUAUAAGUAGGAUGUGAAAUCCCCGGGCUUAACCCGGGAACUGCAUUCUAUACUGUAAGGCUAGAGAUCGAUAGAGGAAACAGGAAUUCCUAGUGUAGGGGUAAUAUCCAUAGAUAUUAGGAGGAACACCAGUGGCGAAGGCGAGUUUCUGGGUCGAUACUGACGCUGAGGUACGAAAGCGUGGGGAGCAAACAGG